rnacentral:rRNA from 1 species
AAAUGAAUAGACGGGGGCCCGCACAAGCGGAGGAACAUGUGGUUUAAUUCGAUGAUACGCGAGGAACCUUACCCGGGCUUAAAUUGCAAAUGAAUUAUGGGGAAACCCAUACGCCGCAAGGCAUUUGUGAAGGUGCUGCAUGGUUGUCGUCAGCUCGUGCCGUGAGGUGUCGGCUUAAGUGCCAUAACGAGCGCAACCCUUAUCUUCAGUUACUAACAGGUCAUGCUGAGGACUCUGGAGAGACUGCCGUCGUAAGAUGUGAGGAAGGUGGGGAUGACGUCAAAUCAGCACGGCCCUUACGUCCGGGGCUACACACGUGUUACAAUGGGGGGUACAGAAGGCCGCUACCUGGUGACAGGAUGCCAAUCCCAAAAACCUCUCUCAGUUCGGAUCGAAGUCUGCAACCCGACUUCGUGAAGCUGGAUUCGCUAGUAAUCGCGCAUCAGCCAUGGCGCGGUGAAUACGUUCCCGGGCCUUGUACACACCGCCCGU